GUACUGCUGAGGAGUUCCACAAUAGGAGGAAACGGUCGUCAAGUAC
rnacentral:hammerhead_ribozyme from 1 species